GAUGAACGCUGGCGGCGUGCCUAAUACAUGCAAGUCGAGCGAACGGACGAGAAACUUGCUUCUCUGAUGUUAGCGGCGGACGGGUGAGUAACACGUGGAUAACCUACCUAUAAGACUGGGAUAACUUCGGGAAACCGGAGCUAAUACCGGAUAAUAUUUUGAACCGCAUGGUUCAAAAGUGAAAGACGGUCUUGCUGUCACUUAUAGAUGGAUCCGCGCUGCAUUAGCUAGUUGGUAAGGUAACGGCUUACCAAGGCAACGAUGCAUAGCCGACCUGAGAGGGUGAUCGGCCACACUGGAACUGAGACACGGUCCAGACUCCUACGGGAGGCAGCAGUAGGGAAUCUUCCGCAAUGGGCGAAAGCCUGACGGAGCAACGCCGCGUGAGUGAUGAAGGUCUUCGGAUCGUAAAACUCUGUUAUUAGGGAAGAACAUAUGUGUAAGUAACUGUGCACAUCUUGACGGUACCUAAUCAGAAAGCCACGGCUAACUACGUG
rnacentral:rRNA from 1 species